rnacentral:rRNA from 1 species
AGAGUGAACGCUGGCGGUAGGCCUAACACAUGCAAGUCGAACGGCAGCACAGUGGUAGCAAUACCAUGGGUGGCGAGUGGCGGACGGGUGAGGAAUACAUCGGAAUCUACCUUUUGGUGGGGGAUAACGUAGGGAAACUUACGCUAAUACCGCAUACGCCCUUCGGGGGAAAGCCGGGGACCUUCGGGCCUGGCGCUUGAGUAGAUGACGCC